rnacentral:rRNA from 1 species
GAUGAACGCUGGCGGCGUGCCUAAUACAUGCAAGUCGAGCGAACGGACGAGAAGCUUGCUUCUCUGAUGUUAGCGGCGGACGGGUGAGUAACACGUGGAUAACCUACCUAUAAGACUGGGAUAACUUCGGGAAACCGGAGCUAAUACCGGAUAAUAUUUUGAACCGCAUGGUUCAAAAGUGAAAGACGGUCUUGCUGUCACUUAUAGAUGGAUCCGCGCUGCAUUAGCUAGUUGGUAAGGUAACGGCUUACCAAGGCAACGAUGCAUAGCCGACCUGAGAGGGUGAUCGGCCACACUGGAACUGAGACACGGUCCAGACUCCUACGGGAGGCAGCAGUAGGGAAUCUUCCGCAAUGGGCGAAAGCCUGACGGAGCAACGCCGCGUGAGUGAUGAAGGUCUUCGGAUCGUAAAACUCUGUUAUUAGGGAAGAACAUAUGUGUAAGUAACUGUGCACAUCUUGACGGUACCUAAUCAGAAAGCCACGGCUAACUACGUGUCAGCAGCCGCGGUAAUACGUAGGUGGCAAGCGUUAUCCGGAAUUAUUGGGCGUAAAGCGCGCGUAGGCGGUUUUUUAAGUCUGAUGUGAAAGCCCACGGCUCAACCGUGGAGGGUCAUUGGAAACUGGAAAACUUGAGUGCAGAAGAGAAAAGUGGAAUUCCAUGUGUAGCGGUGAAAUGCGCAGAGAUAUGGAGGAACACCAGUGGCGAAGGCGACUUUCUGGUCUGUAACUGACGCUGAUGUGCGAAAGCGUGGGGAUCAAACAGGAUUAGAUACCCUGGUAGUCCACGCCGUAAACGAUGAGUGCUAAGUGUUAGGGGGUUUCCGCCCCUUAGUGCUGCAGCUAACGCAUUAAGCACUCCGCCUGGGGAGUACGACCGCAAGGUUGAAACCCAAAGGAAUUGACGGGGACCCGCACAAGCGGUGGAGCAUGUGGUUUAAUUCGAAGCAACGCGAAGAACCUUACCAAAUCUUGACAUCCUUUGACAACUCUAGAGAUAGAGCCUUCCCCUUCGGGGGACAAAGUGACAGGUGGUGCAUGGUUGUCGUCAGCUCGUGUCGUGAGAUGUUGGGUUAAGUCCCGCAACGAGCGCAACCCUUAAGCUUAGUUGCCAUCAUUAAGUUGGGCACUCUAAGUUGACUGCCGGUGACAAACCGGAGGAAGGUGGGGAUGACGUCAAAUCAUCAUGCCCCUUAUGAUUUGGGCUACACACGUGCUACAAUGGACAAUACAAAGGGCAGCGAAACCGCGAGGUCAAGCAAAUCCCAUAAAGUUGUUCUCAGUUCGGAUUGUAGUCUGCAACUCGACUACAUGAAGCUGGAAUCGCUAGUAAUCGUAGAUCAGCAUGCUACGGUGAAUACGUUCCCGGGUCU